rnacentral:lncRNA from 1 species
AAAUGGCUUACCAAAGCAUUGGGACUGACAUGGUAAGUAAAGAAAGCAGAAACCUGUCAAAUCACUAGGUGUCACAUAACAGGGGUCUUACAAAAACAUUGGGUCUCAUGUGGUAACGAGAAAAAACAUAAACUUGUCAAAGUAUUGGGACUCACAUGACAAAGGUCUUACCAAAGCACUAGGUCUCAUGUGGUAAGGGAGAAAAGUAGGAACUUGUCAAAGCACUAGGACUCACAUGACAAGGGUCUUACAAAAGCACUGGGUCUCAUAUGGUAAGGAGAAAAACAGUAACUUGUCAAAGCAUUGGGACUCACAUGAUAAAGGUUUUACCAAAGCACUAGGUCUCAUAUGGUAAGGAGGAAAAGCAAGAACUUGUCA